GAGCUUGCUCCCGGAUGUUAGCGGCGGACGGGUGAGUAACACGUGGGUAACCUGCCUGUAAGACUGGGAUAACUCCGGGAAACCGGAGCUAAUACCGGAUAGUUCCUUGAACCGCAUGGUUCAAGGAUGAAAGACGGUUUCGGCUGUCACUUACAGAUGGACCCGCGGCGCAUUAGCUAGUUGGUGAGGUAACGGCUCACCAAGGCGACGAUGCGUAGCCGACCUGAGAGGGUGAUCGGCCACACUGGGACUGAGACACGGCCCAGACUCCUACGGGAGGCAGCAGUAGGGAAUCUUCCGCAAUGGACGAAAGUCUGACGGAGCAACGCCGCGUGAGUGAUGAAGGUUUUCGGAUCGUAAAGCUCUGUUGUUAGGGAAGAACAAGUGCAAGAGUAACUGCUUGCACCUUGACGGUGGGGGGGGGGAAAGCCACGGCUAACUACGUGCCAGCAGCCGCGGUAAUACGUAUGUGGCAAGCGUUGUCCGGAAUUAUUGGGCGUAAAGGGCUCGCAGGCGGUUUCUUAAGUCUGAUGUGAAAGCCCCCGGCUCAACCGGGGAGGGUCAUUGGAAACUGGGAAACUUGAGUGCACAAGAGGAGAGUGGAAUUCCACGUGUAGCGGUGAAAUGCGUAGAGAUGUGGAGGAACACCAGUGGCGAAAGCGACUCUCUGGUCUGUAACUGACGCU
rnacentral:rRNA from 1 species